AGCGAACGCUGGCGGCAGGCCUAACACAUGCAAGUCGAACGAACCUUUCGGGGUUAGUGGCGGACGGGUGAGUAACACGUGGGAACGUGCCUUUAGGUUCGGAAUAACUCAGGGAAACUUGUGCUAAUACCGAAUGUGCCCUUCGGGGGAAAGAUUUAUCGCCUUUAGAGCGGCCCGCGUCUGAUUAGCUAGUUGGUUGAGGUAAUGGCUCACCAAGGCGACGAUCAGUAGCUGGUCUGAGAGGAUCAUCAGCCACAUUGGGACUGAGACACGGCCCAAACUCCUACGGGAGGCAGCAGUGGGGAAUCUUGCGCAAUGGGCGAAAGCCUGACGCAGCCAUGCCGCGUGAAUGAUGAAGGUCUUAGGAUUGUAAAAUUCUUUCACCGGGGACGAUAAUGACGGUACCCGGAGAAGAAGCCCCGGCUAACUUCGUG
rnacentral:rRNA from 1 species